UCACUUUGAGGAGCGCGGCUGUA
rnacentral:siRNA from 1 species